rnacentral:rRNA from 1 species
GAAAGAUGGCUUUAGCUAUCACUCUGGGAUGGACCUGCGGUGCAUUAGCUAGUUGGUAAGGUAACGGCUUACCAAGGCGAUGAUGCAUAGCCGAGUUGAGAGACUGAUCGGCCACAAUGGAACUGAGACACGGUCCAUACUCCUACGGGAGGCAGCAGUAGGGAAUCUUCCACAAUGGGCGCAAGCCUGAUGGAGCAACACCGCGUGAGUGAAGAAGGGUUUCGGCUCGUAAAGCUCUGUUGUUGGAGAAGAACGUGCGUGAGAGUAACUGUUCGCGCAGUGACGGUAUCCAACCAGAAAGUCACGGCUAACUACGUGCCAGCAGCCGCGGUAAUACGUAGGUGGCAAGCGUUAUCCGGAUUUAUUGGGCGUAAAGCGAGCGCAGGCGGUUGCUUAGGUCUGAUGUGAAAGCCUUCGGCUUAACCGAAGAAGUGCAUCGGAAACCGGGCAACUUGAGUGCAGAAGAGGACAGUGGAACUCCAUGUGUAGCGGUGGAAUGCGUAGAUAUAUGGAAGAACACCGGUGGCGAAGGCGGCUGUCUGGUCUGCAACUGACGCUGAGGCUCGAAAGCAUGGGUAGCGAACAGGAUUAGAUACCCUGGUAGUCCAUGCCGUAAACGAUGAGUGCUAGGUGUUGGAGGGUUUCCGCCCUUCA